GAUGAACGCUGGCGGCGUGCCUAAUACAUGCAAGUCGAGCGAACAGACGAGGAGCUUGCUCCUCUGACGUUAGCGGCGGAAGGGUGAGUAACACGUGGAUAACCUACCUAUAAGACUGGGAUAACUUCGGGAAACCGGAGCUAAUACCGGAUAAUAUAUUGAACCGCAUGGUUCAAUAGUGAAAGACGGUUUUGCUGUCACUUAUAGAUGGAUCCGCGCCGCAUUAGCUAGUUGGUAAGGUAACGGCUUACCAAGGCAACGAUGCGUAGCCGACCUGAGAGGGUGAUCGGCCACACUGGAACUGAGACACGGUCCAGACUCCUACGGGAGGCAGCAGUAGGGAAUCUUCCGCAAUGGGCGAAAGCCUGACGGAGCAACGCCGCGUGAGUGAUGAAGGUUUUCGGAUCGUAAAACUCUGUUAUUAGGGAAGAACAAAUGUGUAAGUAACUAUGCACGUCUUGACGGUACCUUAUCAGAAAGCCACGGCUAACUACGUG
rnacentral:rRNA from 1 species